AGUAAUACAUAAGUAACCUGCCCUAGACAGGGGAAUAACUAUUGGAAACGAUAGCUAAGACCGCAUAGGUACGGACACUGCAUGGUGACCGUAUUAAAAGUGCCUCAAAGCACUGGUAGAGGAUGGACUUAUGGCGCAUUAGCUGGUUGGCGGGGUAACGGCCCACCAAGGCGACGAUGCGUAGCCGACCUGAGAGGGUGACCGGCCACACUGGGACUGAGACACGGCCCAG
rnacentral:rRNA from 1 species